rnacentral:rRNA from 1 species
CGGCGGACGGGUGAGUAACACGUGGAUAACCUACCUAUAAGACUGGGAUAACUUCGGGAAACCGGAGCUAAUACCGGAUAAUAUAUUGAACCGCAUGGUUCAAUGGUGAAAGACGGUUUUGCUGUCACUUAUAGAUGGAUCCGCGCCGCAUUAGCUAGUUGGUAAGGUAACGGCUUACCAAGGCAACGAUGCGUAGCCGACCUGAGAGGGUGAUCGGCCACACUGGAACUGAGACACGGUCCAGACUCCUACGGGAGGCAGCAGAC